rnacentral:rRNA from 1 species
GUCUAUGGCCAUACCACCCUGAACGCGCCAGAUCUCAUCUGAUGUCGGAAGCUAAGCAGGGUCGGGCCUGGUUAGUACUGGGGCUGGGAAGGUGGCUCAGUGGUAGAGC